GGAGGGACAAAGUCACUGGUGUGGCUAGCGGUCUUCAAAACCGUUUUGCGGGACUAUGUUUCGCGGGUAGGUUCGAUUCCUGCAUCCCUCCGCCA
rnacentral:tRNA from 1 species